rnacentral:rRNA from 1 species
GACGAACGCUGGCGGCGUGCUUAACACAUGCAAGUCGAACGGAAAGGCCCUGCUUUUGUGGGGUGCUCGAGUGGCGAACGGGUGAGUAACACGUGAGUAACCUGCCCUUGACUUUGGGAUAACUUCAGGAAACUGGGGCUCAUACCGGAUAGGAGCUCCUGCUGCAUGGUGGGGGUUGGAAAGUUUCGGCGGUUGGGGAUGGACUCGCGGCUUAUCAGCUUGUUGGUGGGGUAGUGGCUUACCAAGGCUUUGACGGGUAGCCGGCCUGAGAGGGUGACCGGCCACAUGGGGACUGAGAGACGGCCCAGACGCCUACGGGAGGCAGCAGUGGGGAAUAUUGCACAAUGGGCGGAAGCCUGAUGCAGCAACGCCGCGUGCGGGAUGACGGCCUUCGGGUUGUAAACCGCUUUCGCCUGUGACGAAGCGUGAGUGACGGUAAUGGGUAAAGAAGCACCGGCUAACUACGUG